rnacentral:rRNA from 1 species
AGGACGAACGCUGGCGGCGUGCUUAACACAUGCAAGUCGAGCGGUAAGGCCUUUCGGGGUACACGAGCGGCGAACGGGUGAGUAACACGUGGGUGAUCUGCCCUGCACUCUGGGAUAAGCCUGGGAAACUGGGUCUAAUACCGGAUAUGACCUGCUCUCGCAGUGGGGGGUGGGUGGAAAGAUUUAUCCGGUGCAGGGAUGGGCCCGCGGCCUAUCAGCUUGUUGGUGGGGUAAUGGCCUACCAAGGCGACGACGGGUAGCCGACCUGAGAGGGUGACCGGCCACACUGGGACUGAGACACGGCCCAGACUCCUACGGGAGGCAGCAGUGGGGAAUAUUGCACAAUGGGCGAAAGCCUGAUGCAGCGACGCCGCGUGAGGAUGGAAAGGCCUUCGGGUUGUAAACCUCGUUUACAGUCCAGGGACGAAGCGACAAGUGACGGUACCUGACAGAAGAAGCACCGGCUAAACGUACGUGCCCAG